AUCCGUCGACUUUAGAAAUCGUGA
rnacentral:tRNA from 1 species